rnacentral:lncRNA from 1 species
GUUGUGUCAAAUGUAAAGAAAAUCGUGUACAAAAGCCUUUACCAAUCGUGCAUUGUUCGCCAAACUUCUUUCGAAAAAUCAUAAUAUUCAGAAAAUGUCCAGCCUUUGUUAUAGCAACUAUUUGCAUGACCUUGAACGUUCCACCAUGGUUCGUAAUUACAAGGCAGGAAAUUGAAAGAGGAAAUAUAAAUCGUUCAGUGACGAUGAUGUAUAAGAAGCCGUAGAUGCCGUAUGAGGUCGACUCUACAAAACAAGCUAAAUCAAAAGUAUAAGAAAAAUGUAGGACGACCUACAGUGCUGAGUGAAGCGGAGGAGAUGGUUCUCGUUCAAACGCUCUCGGAAGUGGCAAAAUGGGGUACCCAUAACUCCAUAUGACCUGAAAAUUAUUAUUCAGAUAUAUCUGAAUAAACAAGGGAGAGAAGUUAAGGUGUUCAAUGCAAUGGUGGUGAAUACAAGCUUGAAUUUUGUUGCGAUGAAUGUGUAUGUGCGAGUGAUUCGGACUAUGGGAUUUUAGCUAAUAUAAAUGCAUAUUAUUAUACAGCACUUUAAUACUUUAUAAUUAUGAUUUUUUAAUGAUUUCAUACUGUUUUAAAGUUUUAUUAGAUGCUAUUAAAGUUGAUAUUUGCUUGCCAAUACAA